rnacentral:sRNA from 1 species
UCAACACUACAACCAGACUUACGGCGGC